GAGUUUGAUCCUGGCUCAGGAUGAACGCUAGCGGAACGCCUAACACAUGCAAGUCAAACGGUCGCCUCGGCGACAGUGGCAAACGAGCGAGUAACGCGUACCUAGUCUGCCCUUGAGUUGGGAACAACUACGGAGACGUAGCUAAUUCCCAAUAUGCUCACGACGGUGAAAUUCCGAUGUGAGGAAAGAUUUAUCGCUCAAGGAGGGGGGUGCGUCCUAUCAGGUUGUUGGUAGGGUAAUAGCCUACCAAGCCUAUGACGGGUAGCCGGUCUGAGAGGAUGUCCGGCCGCGAUGGGACUGAGAUACGGCCCAUACUCCUACGGGAGGCAGCAGUGGGGAAUUUUGCACAAUGGACGCAAGUCUGAUGCAGCGAUUCCGCGUGGAGGAUGAAGCAUUACGGUGUGUAAACUCCUUUUCUGGUGGAAGACGAAUGACGGUACACCAGGAAUAAGAGACGGCUAACUACGUGCCAGCAGCCGCGGUAAUACGUAGGUCUCAAGCGUUAUCCGGAUUUACUGGGCGUAAAGAGUCCGUAGCCCGAUAUGUAAGUCAGUUUUCAAAUACCCCGACUCAAUCGGGGAAAGGGAAUAGAUACUGCAUAUCUAGAGAGUAUUGGAGGUUAGUGGAAUUUCCGGUGGAGCGGUGAAAUGCGUUGAUAUCGGAAAGAACGCCGAAAGCGAAAGCAGCUAACUAUGAUCACUCUGACGGUGAGGGACGACAGCAUGGGGAGCAAACGGGAUUAGAUACCCCGGUAGUCCAUGCCGUAAAUUAUGUCUGCUAGGUGUUUCUCCGGUAAUUAUAUUUGUAUCGUAUAAAUGUAAUUACCGGAGGAGUGCCGUAAUCUAACGAGUUAAGCAGAUCGCCUGGGUAGUAUAUUCGCAAGAAUGAAACUCAAAGGGAUAGGCGGGGGAAC
rnacentral:rRNA from 1 species